rnacentral:rRNA from 1 species
UAGGGAAUCUUCGGCAAUGGGGGGAACCCUGACCGAGCAACGCCGCGUGAGUGAAGAAGGUUUUCGGAUCGUAAAGCUCUGUUGUUAAGGAAGAACGAGUGUGAGAAUGGAAAGUUCAUACUGUGACGGUACUUAACCAGAAAGGGACGGCUAACUACGUGCCAGCAGCCGCGGUAAUACGUAGGUCCCGAGCGUUGUCCGGAUUUAUUGGGCGUAAAGCGAGCGCAGGCGGUUAGAUAAGUCUGAAGUGAAAGGCAGUGGCUCAACCAUUGUAGGCUUUGGAAACUGUUUAACUUGAGUGCAGAAGGGGAGAGUGGAAUUCCAUGUGUAGCGGUGAAAUGCGUAGAUAUAUGGAGGAACACCGGUGGCGAAAGCGGCUCUCUGGUCUGUAACUGACGCGGAGGCUCGAAAGCGUGGGGAGCGAACAGG